AGUUAAAUAAUUUAUAAUAAAAAUAUUAAGUUGCAAACUUAAAAAAAGACCCGUCUUUUAGCUU
rnacentral:tRNA from 1 species